rnacentral:misc_RNA from 1 species
UCACGUCUUACGACGGCAGUUUCACUAGAGUUCCCAGCGUUACCUGAUGGCAACUAGUGAUGGGGGUUGCGCUCGUUGCGGGACUUAACCCAACAUCUCACGACACGAGCUGACGACAGCCAUGCAGCACCUCGACUCCACCCCCUUGCGGGGUACCGGUAUUUCUACCGGCGUUGAGAAGCCGUUCGAGCCUAGGUAAGGUUCUUCGCGUUGCAUCGAAUUAAGCCACAUACUCCACCGCUUGUGCAGGCCCCCGUCAAUUUCUUUGAGUUUUAAUCUUGCGACCGUACUUCCCAGGCGGCUUAUUUAUCGCGUUUGCUACGCCACGAAAGGGGUCGAUUCCUCUCACAGCAAAUAAGCACCGUUUACAGCUAGGACUAC